AGAGGUAUUCCAGGACAUAGUUUGGCUUCAUAUAUUUAAGUGAUGACGGUGUCUUAUUAAAUCCUUGUACAGGAACCAAUACAUGAUAGGAUAUCCAGGAACGUUUCCAGGGCACUAUCAAGCAUAUAAUUGUGGUGUUUCACCUAUGGAGUUUCAACUGCUGUAAGUGCAGUUGCAGCUUAUGCUGUGUCUUAUUAAAUCCUUGUACAGGAACCAAUACAUGAUAGGAUAUCCAGGAACGUUUCCAGGGCACUAUCAAGCAUAUAAUUGUGGUGUUUCACCUAUGGAGUUUCAACUGCUGUAAGUGCAGUUGCAGCUUAUGCUGCAGAUCAUUCUUGCAUUUGGAUCACAAUAGUUCCUGGAAGAUCCGGAUCUCUUUUCUUGAACCUUCAUGUGUUCCCCAUACACCAAUCAGUAACCACAUGGCAGAACAUGUAAACCAUGCGUUGCUCAGUAUAGUUCCAAACUUGUUCACAUAGAAUAAGUUCAUGCCCUCAGAUUGGAGGUCUUCUCUAUUUAACAGAAUGAGCAUAUACCAUCUAUUGUUGCAGAGUUGAAGGCUGUCGUUUAUUUUGCUUGGAACACAAAACGAAAGUGGCUUCCAUAGAUUUAUUUCUUCUUUUCUUAUUUUCAUUGAUCGAUGGUGAAGUUGCCCUUCCACGCACUUUUUUUUUUUACUUUCCAUUUCUUAUUUUUAUGAUGAAAUCUCUCAAAUAGGUGUCAAUAAGAACGCUGCAAAUGGAUCAGCUGCAUUACAUUUGAGGGAGAAACCUUGGGUCCUUCCAGGCGACAUCAAAAAGACUGUAGAUAAAAAUCUACAGAGCUCUCUUUUGAUACUCUCAUUAUCACUACUCUAGUCUCUUUGCCAUUCUUCUCUAUUUUCUUCUAAAUUUUAUCAGGUUCGGUGCUAAUACACUCUAAUUAUUCUCUCUGAUACAAAUUAAGUCUCAAUUGUUGGAGUCAUUGAAGUCAUUUCCUUGAUUCUUUUUCUUGUAUUGUUUUGUUGACUUGGGUGUAAUACGCAUGUGUUAUAUCCAGAAAUAUUAAAAUCUGGUUGUCUAAGUUGCAAUGAAUAAAGUGUGGAAAAAAAAAUCAUUCUUUAAAUAAU
rnacentral:lncRNA from 1 species